ensembl:lncRNA novel transcript
AGAUCUCAAAAAUGGGAGACCACAUGCAAAGGAAACUACGUUUUCACAACACAUGGUUGGAGAGGUCAAAGAAAAUGUGAUGUAUUACUUUCAGUUUUAUCAUCAGCGGGACCAUCUGGGGCUAGUGGUGGGGCUCGAAGAAGGAAGAAGAAAAUAAAGAAGAGAAUCAGAUCCCCAAAGUAGAGAGACUGAAUUACAGCAAUGACCUCGACUUGCAUUUACUAGACAAGGACAUUGAGGCUCAGUAAGGUGAGAUGACUUGCUCCAGAUCACACAGGGUUGAAGCUGAAAUUUUAAUCUAGAGUCCAGUUCCAGAAUCUGUGCUUAUAAACUGUGCUGUGCUGUAUUUGCUUUAAGAAUAUAAGGGUCAUUUCCUGCUUGAAUAAUCAAGGAAGGCAUGAUGGAAAAGUUAGGGGCAUCAUAAAACCCAAAGACAAUUCUGAUCAUAUUUUUACUUCAACACUUCUACAGGAAAGAAAGCCUUCCCAUCACUAAUAGUGAGUUCUCUGGCAGCAAGCCUCAGUCAUUGCAGCAGGAAUACUGCUUAAAUAUUAUACUGGGCAGUGAUUGCAUUUGCAACCCAUUCUUGCCAAAGAGAAAUUCGGAAGCACACUUCAAGGAACUAAGUUCAGUGAUAAUCACACUUGAUUGAUUUUCAGUACUGUCACAGUUUGAGAACUAUUUAUUGCCCUGAUUUGCUCUUUUCUCUGCCCUGUAUUAAAGAUCUUGCAUGACAGUUGAUCCAUGA